UACGGAGGGUGCGAGCGUUGUCCGGAAUCACUGGGCGUAAAGGGCGCGUAGGCGGCCUGAUAAGUAGGGGGUGAAAUCCUGCGGCUUAACCGCAGGGCUGCCUUCUAAACUGUCAGGCUAGAGCACAGUAGAGGCAGGUGGAAUUCCCGGUGUAGCGGUGAAAUGCGUAGAUAUUGGGAGGAACACCAGUGGCGAAGGCGGCUCACUGGACCGGAACUGACGCUGAGGCGCGAAAGCGUGGGGAGCAAACAGG
rnacentral:rRNA from 1 species